CCGCAGAGCAACGGGGGCGGGGGCGGAAAGCAGAGUAAGCAGGAAAUUCACAGGAGGUCUGCUCGGCUCAGAAAUACUAAAUACAAAUCUGCUCCAGCUGCUGAAAAGAAAGUUUCCACUAAAGGAAAAGGGAGAAGACAUAUUUUUAAG